rnacentral:rRNA from 1 species
UACGUAGGGUGCGAGCGUUGUCCGGAAUUAUUGGGCGUAAAGCGUGCGUAGGCGGCUGUUUAAGUCUGGUGUUAAAGCUAGGGGCUCAACCCCUGUGGUGCAUCGGAUACUGGGCAGCUUGAGUGCGGUAGGGGAAGGUGGAAUUCCGAGUGUAGCGGUGAAAUGCGUAGAUAUUCGGAAGAACACCGGUGGCGAAGGCGACCUUCUGGGCCGCAACUGACGCUGAGGCACGAAAGCCUGGGGAGCGAACGGG